CUUCGCUAGACAGACACAGAGAGAGGGGGGAGAGGAAGGAAGGAAGUGAGAAAGAAAGAAAGAAUGGAAUUGAGGGAGAGAGAGGGGGUGGGAAGAGAGUGGAAGACAGACAGAGAGAAACAGAGAGCGAGAAAGACAGCAGUGCAAAUGUACUUAGACUUGAGUAUUUCAACAACUCUUCUCUUGGCAUGAUUGCCAAAAUCAACCUACGCUUCUUCUGAUGGGGAAUUGUCAAGGAGGUGGUCAGCUGUGCAUUUGAAAUAACCUUUUGUUUAUCAAUCACAUUCUAUUAUAUCUGAAAUUAUUAUGAUUUCAAUGAAUGUCAUAUCAGAGAGCACACAACGUUUCAAUUUGUUACUUUUUUCUUAGUCUGUACCCUGUCUAGCCUGCCAGAAGUUUGAGAGGGCGAAGACCGUGGCGCCGAAGUUGUGGCGCCCGUUAAAGUUGUUUCAUCGAGGCACAUGAUCAGGGUGGACCUCAUCAGACCCUUCACGAAAUCCAGGAAUGGCAACAGCUGGUGUCUGACCGUGACUGAUCACUUUACCAAGUGGAUGGAGGCAAUACCCAUUAAGGACGAGACUGGCGAGGCCACCUCCAACAAGAUGAUGGACAUCUUCUACACCCACGGUUCUCCUGUGGUCAUCUUGAGUGACCGAGGUCAUGAAAACUGGAACAAGAUAUCGCUUUCCUAA
rnacentral:lncRNA from 1 species